rnacentral:tRNA from 1 species
CAGGGAGACAACACAAUGAUUUUGAUGCCUGAGUGCUUUUAUUCUUAGGCCGAAAUCCUGUCACCUUAGGUCGAUCGGUACCUCAGCUUUGAAGUCAAGGAUCAGCAGCAAUGUUGAUUGCUUGAUGGAGAUUUUCAGUUCCUAAACUUUGUCUAGGUCACACCCCAAAAGGGAUGAGACUCCUGGGCCAUUAGCUCAGGUGGUUAGAGCGCACCCCUGAUAAGGGUGAGGUCCCUGGUUCAAGUCCAGGAUGGCCCAUUCGGUGUUGGGGGUUUAGCUCAGUUGGUAGAGCGCCUGCUUUGCAAGCAGGAUGUCAGGAGUUCGAGUCUCCUAACCUCCACUGACCGAACUUGAUUCCCAUCUCCAAUUUUUUUGGAGUUGAGCUCGAUUGGAGUGUGAUUUAGAUGUGUCCGCUGGAUGACCCCAGCUUCCUGUCAUUCCAAGUUUUAGGUUGAUGCCUUGAAUUUGGUUGAUAAGAUGCUGGGCUCGGAUCAAAUGAUCAAGCAAUUGAUGAUUUGAUUUGAAGUUCUAGCAGAACCUUGACAACUGCAUAGGUGAGUCUGGAAAAAACAAAGCAUCUUACAGAUGCAUUGUUUUGAAUCUGAUCUUCUGAAAGGGAGAUUGGAUCUAGAACAAUGAAAAUUCUUUUGAGCAAGAGCCGAGACUCUUGAGCGUUCUUUGAUUGGUGUCGAGCCAAUCAGAGUUUGAUCUUGUUUUUAGCAAUAAAAACUUGAGAAUCUGCUUUCAACGGCGGUAAGCGUUCAGGAGGUUAAUU